rnacentral:lncRNA from 1 species
AUUUACAUAUAAGGAAAAAAGAGUUGGACUUAAAAUACAGCCUUGUUUUACUCCCACUUUUGAUGAAAAUGACGUUGUUUCGCCUUCUGUAAACUUAAUUGAGUAUUUAACUUCAACAUACAUAUUUUUCAAAAUAUUGAAAAAACAGCCUGAUAAAUUAUAACAGGACAAUUUAUACAACAAUGCUUCUCUAUUAACUGUAUAAAAAUUGAUAGAAAUUAUGAGCAUGUGAUUAUUCAAUGUUUAGAAAAUAAGGAUAAUGAAACUUUGAGUUUCAUAAAUUAGAACUUUUUAUGUUUCACUUGAAACUGACAUUAUUGUGAUUCCUGCAAUACGGGGGGAAAUGCUGAGUUUUACAACAUUUCAUCAUCCUUACCAAACAUGUAUAAUAUCUAGCUAUAUUGUCAAAGCUACAAACAGUUAUUUUACAUGCUGUAUCCCAAUCUUUUGUAGAUAUUUUUUUAAUAACGUGAGCAUCAUUCUAGCUGAUAUUGUUUUAAAAAGAAUUCUUUUUUGAAGAGUGCAUAUGGUAUAAAUCAUAUGGUUUCCUAUUAACAAAAUAAUUUGUUCUUUAUGUUUGUUAUGCCUUUGUGGUAAUUAAAG